GCAUCCAAUAACUCUUCUGUCUUCCACAUAUUUCUCUCGCACCAUAUUUGUUACAGCUCUCUCUCUCUCUGUUCCCAGUACUGUAUCAUGAAAAUAAAAAUUACACUCUUACUUACUACUUCUUUAUUCUUACGCACUUUUGCUGGUUUUGCAGCUAUAUUUGCAAAAGCUGAAUUUUCAUAUUACAAGUUGGCACUCCAAUGGCCAAAUUCUAUAUGUAAUCAGGGUAAUCAAUGUGUUAAAAACACAUUUUCAAUACAUGGACUGUGGCCUUUCUGGGCAGAUCAUUCUAUAGUACAACCUUGUCCAGGAUUGGAAUUGACAAGUAGCCAGAUAUGUAUCUUUCUUGGCAUGACUUGUAGGUGACAGGUAUAGAAACUUCGCUGAAAUAAUAUUGGCCUAGCCUUUAUAGGUUAGAUAACUUUAACUUCUGGAAGCACGAGUGGGCGAGCCAUGGUAGAUGCCUUGGUCUAGAGCCAUCUGUGUACUUCAAGGAUGCAAUUGAUCUUAGAAAAUACUUUUUCAAGGAUGAUGAUUUAUUUCAAAAAGGUUUGUUUUAUAAUUUUUCAUGUGUGCCCCUUGAUUUUUCCUGCCAAUUGAUUUACAAGUUAUUUUCCAUGCUUCUAAGGUUUUAAACCGCGUCCCCAGCCAUACAAUCUGCUAGCUCUCUAUAAUACGUUGCGUCAAGCAAAUGGCGCUUAUGGAGAGUUGAAAUGCAACAUGAGAAAUGGUGUGUAUCAGCUGGUUGAGGUUCGUCUUUGCAUUGACCGUCAAAAGAAGCUUCAUGAUUGUCCAAAAAGAUUCACCACCUGCGGUAAUGAUAAUCAAGCAUUAGUUCUUUUCCCCAACUGAAGUAUUAUUGGAUCCAGGAAGAUCCAAAGUGUCCCAGGCCAGCAAUGUAAUGGUUGGGCCGGGCCUAGGCCGAGUUGGGCGAAUUACUUAACUUCUUGUUUUCCUUUACUUGUUGUUUUCCUUUAUGUCAUAUAAGGAAGUGAGCCACAUAAUAGCUGGGCUGAUAGCUUGGGUCAUGUUUUAUCUGAGGCAUUUUUAAGAUGUUUUGCAAAGCUCUAGCAAAUAUGCUUACUGUAGUUACCGAAAUGAUCUAUCAAGAAUAUGAAUACAAUCGUUUUCUAUUUUGCUCUCA